rnacentral:rRNA from 1 species
AAUGAACGUUGGCGGCGUGGAUUAGGCAUGCAAGUCGAGCGAGAACCCGCAAGGGGGACAGCGGCAAACGGGGUAGUAAUGUGUCGGAACGUGCCCUCUGGACGGGGAUAGCGGCGGGAAACUGCCGGUAAUACCCGAUGAACUCGAGAGAGCAAAGGUGUGAUUCCGCCGGAGGAGCGGCCGACAUGGUAUUAGCUAGUUGGCGGGGUAACGGCCCACCAAGGCUGUGAUGCCUAGGGGAUGUGAGAGCAUGAUCCCCACCAUUGGGACUGAGACACUGCCCAGACACCUACGGGUGGCUGCAGUCGAGAAUCUUCGUCAAUGGGCGAAAGCCUGAACGAGCGACGCCGCGUGCGGGAUGAAGGCCCUUGGGUUGUAAACCGCUGUCGAGGGGGAUGAAGGCAUUCAGGUACUCCUGAAUGUUUGACAGAGCCCUGGAGGAAGCACGGGCUAAGUUCGUGCCAGCAGCCGCAGUAACAC